CGAAGGUCGCUCGAGAUGUUACUUCGCCAGGCGUGCCUCGUGCUUGCGAGUCGGAGUGCUGACUACGGAGGGAUCCCUUUUGUAGCCGCCGAGGGCCCGCGAGGCUCCGUGUGCCCGCCGCUUCCGAGUGCUGCGCUGCGGCUCGGGCAACGGCCGGGGAGGAACUGUCGGUCCCUCGUGGUAACGCAGCCGGGCCUGCUAGGCGCUUAAAGCAGCGCGUCCGGCCGGGCAGUAUUGUUUUCCGAGGCUGUAAAGGAGCCCGAGGUAUAAACCCGCUUGACGUUUCCGUACGGCGGUGCGCUUUGUCGGAGAGCUCGGCCGUACUGACGGAGCUGGCACAGGGUUCCCGCGGGACUCCGGCUUUGCCCGUCUCGUGGAAAGGCUCCAGAGCCUGCUUGGGAAGCCGCUUGACAAGGCACGGCUUUGCCGUGAUUUUUACGCCGGAAUUCCGACGGUAACGCCGAUGCCACGUGUUAGCCUUUCUCCAGCAGCUCUUCAAAGCAGAGUGAGCCUUAAGAAUCGGACUGCCUUGUAACGAAAUUCGAAACAAAGCGGCGGGGUGAAGCGGCUGGAAGCGUCCUGCCAGUCUGCCGUGGGUAUCGCUGCCGUGCGUGUUACCUGCCUGUCUGCCGAUCGCUCCUGCCUCUUGUUGUGCCCCGGGCCUCGGCUGUUGCGUGCAGAGAAGCUGUCAGCCUUGUGAGAGAGCACGCCGCCGGCAAGCGCAUCGUGGUGCUUCGGUACCGAGCUGAGACCGCAGGCGUCCGUCUUUUGUUUGCGAAAAGGGAUCGCGAGGAAAGGUGCUGACCUCGGAGGGGGAGAGGUGGCGGGGGAACAGGGGGCGUUCCCACAAGGCAGCGGUGUGGAGCCGAAGGGGACUGCGAUUGAACGGGGACGGAGCCGUUUGGACCGAGUCUUGAAGAUCUCUCGGGUUUUUGUCCGAGGAAACUUCGUCUCGAGACGGUCCUAUCGCUCGCUGGCAACGUGACUAGUUGAAUCGAGAAUGUUCGCUGCCGGAACUUCAUCCACCGAGAUGGGAAGCCAGGCAACUUCCUAACGGGCCGUGGGCAGAGUUCCCUUCUUGAUGCCGUGCCUCUAUAAUAAACUGUGCAGUCCGUUAGCUGGACGGGCUGCAGUACCCAAAUUUUUUCGCCAGGUGGCAGCACCGCGCCCCCCCCCGGCGGAGUAAGGGCAGCGCAUGCGCAGACGCGGCAUGACGCCGAAGGGGGCGUGGCCUCCGGGCACGUCGCGGGCCGAUGACGCAAUCCCGCUUUGGCGCAUGCGCAGAAGGGCUUUCUGGCCAAGUAAGGUCAGCGCAUGCGCAGAAGCGGCUUUGACCCUCAGGGGCGGGGCUUCCGGCCCCGUGCG